CAGUACCAGGGAUUGAACUCAAGACAUUGUGCUUGCAAGAGAGAUGAACUAGCAAAAGUUACAGUGGAAUUCCUUCAAUGUCAUUGAAAGGGCUCAACAUGGUGGCUAAAGCUAUGCAGUCUGCUUGUGACUAUGAAAAGAUCUGGAAUGUGUAAUUUUUGAGGACAAAGAGCAAACAAAAAGAGGACCUGGGGAAUUGAAGACACAUAUGGAAUAUAUAUGCCAAUGUGUGACCUCCUAUAACAUCAUGCUACUUCAGAACCACUAUUUUCUAGGUUAUCAGAAUUUGUUGCUUAAUAGAAAAUGCAGUUCUAAACUGAUACAAAGUUAAACCUCAAGUUCCAUGCGUUUGUCCAUUCUUUAGUGCAUUUAGUGCAUUUAUCUAUUCUCUAGCAUAUGUCUAAUAUUAUGGAAAAAUGUGGGUAAACCUGGGCCUAUAAAAAUAAGACAAUUAGUUCUUACCUUCAAAAAGAUGACAGCUUAGUGGGAAGUCAGAGAAAUGGAUUAAUGGUCAAAAUCACAAAGUUGCAGUUGACCACAAUAAUAGCAAUAAUCACAGAUUAUUGAAGAGAACCAAGAAUGAGUAGAUCUAGCACUCUUGGGAUCAGGGAAAGUUGAUGAAAAAACUGAAACUUUGAAGAUUUAGGAAUGAGUAGGUACAAGGUGCUGCACCAGAGAGGUACUGAGUGUGUCCUGGAAUCAGGAAAGCAUCAGGGGAAGAGGAGGCAAAGGAAUGAGGACCACGUUAAUCUGCAUGUGGGACUCCAGUAGUCAGAGUUUGUUAGUACCCAAAGCACAAACCAGAGAGUGAUGACAGACAAGUAGGUUAGUAAUGGCUUCAUUUUUCUGGAGCCUCCUGCAUGGUAACAAUCUCACACUUCAUCCUGAAGGCCAGCAGGAUCCUAAUAUUCUCUGCUGUUCUCUCAGCACAGUGUCACUCCUGUUAAAGAAUAGUACUGUCUUUUCAACAGCUGAGGAUUGAUACCUUAUCUCAAUUCAACAAAAGAAAUAGUUAAUUAUGUUGCAAAUUGGUAUUGGCAAUUGAUUUGAGUGAUUGUCUCCUGUUAGACAGCAUUUAAAUUUUUGCUACGCAACAUGUUAUGCAUAUGUGAAAAAGAACCUGGUAGUCUUAUUUGCUUGUGGGCUUGGAGUUCAUGGUAACAUAGUAAGAGUUCUAAAAUAAGUAGCUCCAGUAGGAGACAUGAACUCCUGGUUUCCUCCACUCAUGUAACACUCUCUUUUGUCUUUGCUUAUUAAUAAGGAAGUACAAAUACUAGGGCACUAUUAAAUAAUUCCUAAUUCUCCCUUCCCUCGGUCUUUGACAACUACUAUUCUACUCUCUGCUAUUGUAAGCUGACUAUUUCAGUUAUCUCAUAAAGUUGAAUCAUGUAGUAUUUGUCCCCCUGUGACUGGUUUACUUCACUAGCAUGAUGUUCUGCAGGUUCAUCCAUGUUGUUAACACAAGAAAACUUCCUGAAUAAUAUUCCAUUGUAUGCUAUAUCAAUUUUGUUUAUUCAACUGUUUCCAAUAGAAGUCAGUGUUGCUUCCUUAUGUUGGCUUUUAUGUACAGUAUAAUGCUGCAAUGAACAUAGGAGUGCAGUUAUUUCUCUUUUUUAUUUUAAGUUCUUUUAUUGGU